rnacentral:rRNA from 1 species
AGAUUGAACGCUGGCGGCAGGCCUAACACAUGCAAGUCGAGCGGCAGCACGGGUACUUGUACCUGGUGGCGAGCGGCGGACGGGUGAGUAAUGCCUAGGAAUCUGCCUGGUAGUGGGGGAUAACGCUCGGAAACGGACGCUAAUACCGCAUACGUCCUACGGGAGAAAGCAGGGGACCUUCGGGCCUUGCGCUAUCAGAUGAGCCUAGGUCGGAUUAGCUAGUUGGUGAGGUAAUGGCUCACCAAGGCGACGAUCCGUAACUGGUCUGAGAGGAUGAUCAGUCACACUGGAACUGAGACACGGUCCAGACUCCUACGGGAGGCAGCAGUGGGGAAUAUUGGACAAUGGGCGAAAGCCUGAUCCAGCCAUGCCGCGUGUGUGAAGAAGGUCUUCGGAUUGUAAAGCACUUUAAGUGGAGAGGCAGUUACCUAAUACGUAUCUGUUUGACGUUACGACAGAAUAAGCACCGGCUAACUCUGUG